rnacentral:rRNA from 1 species
AUUGAACGCUGGCGGAAUGCUUUACACAUGCAAGUCGAACGGCAGCACGGACUUCGGUCUGGUGGCGAGUGGCGAACGGGUGAGUAAUAUAUCGGAACGUAUCCAAUAAUGGGGGAUAACUAAUCGAAAGGUUGGCUAAUACCGCAUACGCCCUACGGGGGAAAGCUAGGGACCUUCGGGCCUGGCGUUAAUGGAGCGGCUGAUAUCUGAUUAGCUAGUAGGUGAGGUAAAGGCUCACCUAGGCGACGAUCAGUAGCUGGUCUGAGAGGACGACCAGCCACACUGGAACUGAGACACGGUCCAGACUCCUACGGGAGGCAGCAGUGGGGAAUUUUGGACAAUGGGCGAAAGCCUGAUCCAGCCAUUCCGCGUGAGUGAAGAAGGCCUUCGGGUUGUAAAGCUCUUUCGCAAGGGAAGAAAACUUAGGCGCUAAUAUCGCUUGAGGUUGACGGUACCUUGAUAAGAAGCACCGGCUAACUACGUGCCAGCAGCCGCGGUAAUACGUAGGGUGCGAGCGUUAAUCGGAAUUACUGGGCGUAAAGCGUGCGCAGGCGGUUUUGUAAGUCAGAUGUGAAAUCCCCGAGCUCAACUUGGGAACUGCGUUUGAAACUAUCAGACUAGAAUAUGUCAGAGGGGGUAGAAUUCCACGUGUAGCAGUGAAAUGCGUAGAGAUGUGGAGGAAUACCAAUGGCGAAGGCAGCCCCCUGGGAUAAUAUUGACGCUCAUGCACGAAAGCGUGGGGAGCAAACAGGAUUAGAUACCCUGGUAGUCCACGCCCUAAACGAUGUCUACUAGUUGUUGGUGGAGUAAAAUCCAUGAGUAACGCAGCUAACGCGUGAAGUAGACCGCCUGGGGAGUACGGUCGCAAGAUUA